ACGUAGGGGGCGAGCGUUAUUCGGAAUUACUGGGUGUAAAGGGUAUGCAGGCGGCCCUUCAAGUCGCGUGUCAAAGUCCAGUGCUCAACGCUGGGUGUGCGCGCGAUACUGACGGGCUUGAGGGCUGAAGAGGUGAGCGGAAUUCCCGGUGUAGUGGUGAAAUGCGUAGAUAUGAGGAGGAACACCAACGGCGAAGGCAACUCACUGGACAGGUUCUGACGCUAAGAUACGAAAGCGUGGGGAGCAAACAG
rnacentral:rRNA from 1 species